rnacentral:rRNA from 1 species
UACAGAGGGUGCGAGCGUUAAUCGGAAUUACUGGGCGUAAAGCGCGCGUAGGCGGCUUGUUAAGUCAACUGUGAAAUCCCCGAGCUUAACUUGGGCAUUGCAUUCGAUACUGGCAAGCUAGAGUAUGGGAGAGGAAGGUAGAAUUCCAGGUGUAGCGGUGAAAUGCGUAGAGAUCUGGAGGAAUACCGAUGGCGAAGGCAGCCUUCUGGCCUAAUACUGACGCUGAGGUGCGAAAGCAUGGGGAGCAAACAGG